rnacentral:rRNA from 1 species
AGUGAACGCUGGCGGUAGGCCUAACACAUGCAAGUCGAACGGCAGCACAGUAAGAGCUUGCUCUUACGGGUGGCGAGUGGCGGACGGGUGAGGCAUACAUCGGAAUCUACUUUUUCGUGGGGGAUAACGUAGGGAAACUUACGCUAAUACCGCAUACGACCUACGGGUGAAAGCAGGGGAUCUUCGGACCUUGCGCGAUUGAAUGAGCCGAUGUCGGAUUAGCUAGUUGGCGGGGUAAAGGCCCACCAAGGCGACGAUCCGUAGCUGGUCUGAGAGGAUGAUCAGCCACACUGGAACUGAGACACGGUCCAGACUCCUACGGGAGGCAGCAGUGGGGAAUAUUGGACAAUGGGCGCAAGCCUGAUCCAGCCAUACCGCGUGGGUGAAGAAGGCCUUCGGGUUGUAAAGCCCUGUUGUUAGGAAAGAAAAGCAGCAGGUUAAUACCCCGCUGUUCUGACGGUACCCAAAGAAUAAGCACCGGCUAACUUCGUG